rnacentral:lncRNA from 1 species
GCUAGUAGCUAAGCAAAGAUCUAGCAAAAAAAACCCUAAAAGAGCUUUCUUCUGAUGGGCAGCAUACCAUUCACAUGCUACCAAAUAUCUGUGUGCUGUGAAAAGAUGUGGUAUUUGGUGAACAACUUAAAAAGCUGGGGCUAAAGCUAUGUUGAAGGUUUAACUGACCAGGUCAUCAGUAAGUUACCAUAAUUCAAAAUAUCCCUGUCAAGGUGCUAGGAAUUGCCUUUCAUCAUUUGUAUCAGAUUGUAUAAUCAAUAAGGACAGAUAACGACUUUCAAUGUUAUUUUAAAACUAUUGUGUAUAUAUAUAUUCCUAACCUCCUUUUUCCAUUUGCAGGUAUUGGGCUCAGAGUAACUAAGGAUCCUGAAAUCACAGACAAUAGGAUAAAUGCAUAACUAAAUGUUGCCGUGAAAGCUUCCAGAAACAAUAUGAUUUUUCUGGCAGUUACAAGGGAACAGAUGGACAAAAUCUUGGAAAAAGGAAGAGAGAAGCAAGAUGUAAUUCUAUGUUGUAAAAUUCCUUUCCCACUUCCAGAAGUGACUAAUGCUCUCCACUUGGUGCUAUUGUACAACAGAGACAAAAGGCAGACUCAAGCUGGCAUGACUCUUCCUGCGCCUCUCGAGGUCCUACUUACCUCACAGCCACUUCAGUGCAGUGUCCUUGUGAAUGUUUCCAGAAAGCAAACCCACUUUGUCCUGGGUUCAUCAUUGAUUUGCUUUUAGAACUGCAAAGAACCUCUAGCACCAAACUCUGGACAUGCCUUCACCUACAGAUCCUCUAAUAAAACAGCAAUGGCCACUUGAAAGCUCA